rnacentral:sRNA from 1 species
UUUUCAAGCACUCUUUG